rnacentral:rRNA from 1 species
GACGAACGCUGGCGGCGUGCUUAACACAUGCAAGUCGAACGGAAAGGCCCUGCUUUUGUGGGGUGCUCGAGUGGCGAACGGGUGAGUAACACGUGAGUAACCUGCCCUUGACUUUGGGAUAGCUUCAGGAAACUGGGGCUAAUACCGGAUAGGAGCUCCUGCUGCAUGGUGGGGGUUGGAAAGUUUCGGCGGUUGGGGAUGGACUCGCGGCUUAUCAGCUUGUUGGUGGGGUAGUGGCUUACCAAGGCUUUGACGGGUAGCCGGCCUGAGAGGGUGACCGGCCACAUUGGGACUGAGGUACGGCCCAGACUCCUACGGGAGGCAGCAGUGGGGAAUAUUGCACAAUGGGCGGAAGCCUGAUGCAGCAACGCCGCGUGCGGGAUGACGGCCUUCGGGUUGUAAACCGCUUUCGCCUGUGACGAAGCGUGAGUGACGGUAAUGGGUAAAGAAGCACCGGCUAACUACGUG